rnacentral:rRNA from 1 species
CAGUAGCCGCGGGAAUACGGAGGGUGCAAGCGUUAAUCGGAAUUACUGGGCGUAAAGCGCACGCAGGCGGUCUGUCAAGUCGGAUGUGAAAUCCCCGGGCUCAACCUGGGAACUGCAUUCGAAACUGGCAGGCUAGAGUCUUGUAGAGGGGGGUAGAAUUCCAGGUGUAGCGGUGAAAUGCGUAGAGAUCUGGAGGAAUACCGGUGGCGAAGGCGGCCCCCUGGACAAAGACUGACGCUCAGGUGCGAAAGCGUGGGGAGCAAACAGGAUUAGAUACCCCAGUAGUCCCUGUCUCUUAUAC